rnacentral:rRNA from 1 species
AACGAACGCUGGCGGCAUGCCUAACACAUGCAAGUCGAACGAGACCUUCGGGUCUAGUGGCGCACGGGUGCGUAACACGUGGGAAUUUGCCUCGGGGUAUGGAAUAACUCAGGGAAACCUGAGCUAAUACCAUAUAAUGUCUUCGGACCAAAGAUUUAUCGCCCUGAGAUAAGCCCGCGUAGGAUUAGCUAGUUGGUGGGGUAAAGGCUCACCAAGGCGACGAUCCUUAGCUGGUCUGAGAGGAUGAUCAGCCACACUGGGACUGAGACACGGCCCAGACUCCUACGGGAGGCAGCAGUGGGAAUAUUGGACAAUGGGCGAAAGCCUGAUCCAGCAAUGCCGCGUGAGUGAUGAAGGCCUUAGGGUUGUAAAGCUCUUUUACCCGAGAUGAUAAUGACAGUAUCGGGAGAAUAAGCUCCGGCUAACUCCGUGCCAGCAGCCGCGGUAAUGUGACUACUG